rnacentral:rRNA from 1 species
CUACACAUGCAGUCGAGCGGUAGCACGGGGAGAGCUUGCUCUCCUGGGUGACGAGCGGCGGACGGGUGAGUAAUGUCUGGGAAACUGCCUGAUGGAGGGGGAUAACUACUGGAAACGGUAGCUAAUACCGCAUAACGUCUACGGACCAAAGUGGGGGACCUUCGGGCCUCACGCCAUCAGAUGUGCCCAGAUGGGAUUAGCUAGUAGGUGGGGUAAUGGCUCACCUAGGCGACGAUCCCUAGCUGGUCUGAGAGGAUGACCAGCCACACUGGAACUGAGACACGGUCCAGACUCCUACGGGAGGCAGCAGUGGGGAAUAUUGCACAAUGGGCGCAAGCCUGAUGCAGGCCAUGCCCGCGUGUGUGAAGAAGGCCUUCGUGGUUGUACAAGUCAUCUUUCAGCGAGGAGGGAAUGGGCGAUGUCGUUAUUACCCGUGGUUAUCGCUAGUUGGAGCGUUACCUCUG